rnacentral:siRNA from 1 species
ACUCCAUUGCCUAUUCUGACCCC